GCCCUCAUAGCUCAGUUGGAAGAGCAACGGUCUUGUAAACCGUGGGUCGCCUGUUCGAUUCGGGCUGGGGGCACCA
rnacentral:tRNA from 1 species